rnacentral:rRNA from 1 species
CCCUUAGAUGUUCUGGGCCGCACGCGCGCUACACUGACGAAGUCAGCGAGCAUGUCCUACGCCGACAGGUGCGGGGAAUCUUGUCAAACUUCGUCGUGAUGGGGAUUGAUUAUUGAAAUUCUUGAUCAUCAACGAGGAAUUCCUAGUAAGCGCAAGUCAGCAGCUUGCGUUGAUUACGUCCCUGCCCUUUGUACACACCGCCCGUCGCUACUACCGAUUGAAUGGUUUAGUGAGAUCUUCGGAUUGGCGCCACUGCGGCUCAGCAAUGGGCUCGGUGGAUGCCGAAAAGUUGACCAAACUUGAUCAUUUAGAGGAAGUAAAAGUCGUAACA